UACGGGGGGGGCAAGCGUUGUUCGGAAUUACUGGGCGUAAAGGGCUCGUAGGCGGAUACUUAAGUCAGGGGUGAAAUCCCGGGGCUCAACCCCGGAACUGCCUUUGAUACUGCAAAUCUCGAGUCCGGAAGAGGUGAGUGGAAUUCCUAGUGUAGAGGUGAAAUUCGUAGAUAUUAGGAAGAACACCAGUGGCGAAGGCGGCUCACUGGUCCGGUACUGACGCUGAGAUGCGAAAGCGUGGGGAGCAAACAGGG
rnacentral:rRNA from 1 species